AGUGCCCUCAAUCAAGGCUUGCAGUUUUCUAAACUUGUUGGUUUUGAAUAGGAUCCACAUGUAGCAAUCUUUCUAUUAUCUAUUGGCUAUUUCAGAAAUUUAGAAAUAUAACGGUCAACUCAUUAGAAACAGAUAACU
rnacentral:snoRNA from 1 species